rnacentral:pre_miRNA from 1 species
UGAUGAUGAUGAUGCUGCUGUUGAUGAUGAUGAUGAUGAUGGUGAUAACCACACCAUCAUCGUCAUCGUGAUCAUCAUCGUCAUCACCAUCAUCAUAA